AUGGUUUCGGCUAUCACUUUAGGAUGGACCCGCGGUGCAUUAGUUAGUUGGUGAGGUAAAGGCUCACCAAGACCGUGAUGCAUAGCCGACCUGAGAGGGUAAAUCGGCCACACUGGGACUGAGACACGGCCCAGACUCCUACGGGAGGCAGCAGUAGGGAAUCUUCCACAAUGGACGAAAGUCUGAUGGAGCAACGCCGCGUGAGUGAAGAAGGUUUUCGGAUCGUAAAACUCUGUUGUUGGAGAAGAAUGUAUCUGAUAGUAACUGAUCAGGUAGUGACGGUAUCCAACCAGAGAGCCACGGCUAACUACGUG
rnacentral:rRNA from 1 species